AUGCUGACAACGUUACGCAGACGAAAAGUUCCCCCAGGCUCCUGCAGGACGCACACAGCGCGCAUACUCAGGAGACCUUGCUUGGAACCAAAAAAAAAGAUUUCUGAAUAUCACCCAGCCUUAGCACGUGUCAACGAAACCCACUGGAAGAAGGUCCCACCUCCCGCUCACGGUGAUGCGAGGGUCACAGCCCUGCGUUGGUUCAAGGGGUGAAGUUCUGUGUGGCAGUGCGAACCACUCCAAGGAGCAAGGCGAAUGUGCCUAAAGCACUACUUUACAAAAUUAUUUAUUGUCUCAUAAUCUUUUAAAGUAGAAAAAUCUAACCUUGGAGACAGAAAACACAUUAGAAACAUCAUUAAACAUCAAUUGCAAAGCACUCAGACAUUACAAUACACCAGAAUUAAAGCGUCUUGCACAGCCUGGACUUGUUAGGUCAGUGCUUUCGGAUUGCCGUCAACUAUCUGCUCACACGCUGCUCUGCUGCAGUUUUCUCCGCUUUCUCUAAGAUUAGCAUGCCCAUGGUGGCACCAGUCUGGCAAAGACCUAUGGCUGUUUAAGAAGGAAGCUGAGGUUCAGGCUGCCAGCUAGGCUGGCUUGCUGAGGAGGAUGAAAGGUUUCUCUUUGGUUUCUCCCCGCGUUGAAGGCAACUGCCUGAUAACACAAGCCGCAGAGGGGCGAUCUGGUGGUUCACCUCUCACAGCACAGCUACCUCUGUGUCGGGCAUGGUGCGGGGCACCCACGCAGACCUGCCGAGCUGCAGUGGUAGGUUUAGGCUGAGCCCCCGGCACGAGUGAAGAGCAAGAAACUUAGGAGAUUAUCCUCCAGGAUGGCAAUAGGCAAGAUGCCUAGAGUAGGUAGCGGCUCUAAAAAUUGCUUGAGAUGUGCAGCCAGCCCUGGCACACCUCUUAACUGAGAACCAUCUUUUUACUGGGAUAAUCUAUCACACUUGAAAAAUUCUGAAAGGCUGUAUCUUUCCCCCAAACCAUCUUUAUCAUUUUAAUUUAAAAGCUUUUUAAAAUUAUCACCCAAAUAAAUGGUAAAUAGAACAGGGCA
rnacentral:lncRNA from 1 species